UUCAGUGUGGUGUAGCCGACAUCAUCGCUGAGCGCUCUGCUUUCUGCAGCAUCCAAGCAGCCUGUUCAAACCACCAUUGAGCAGUGGCAGGGCUUGCAGGAAGCUGAGGCUAGCUAUGAAGUUUUGGAAAAGGUUUCAUACACUGAAGGCAACUGGAAAGCACUGGGUUCCCAGAUGGUGGUUCUUAUCUAUGGCAGUUUCUUUUUUGUCCUACUGAAAAGGGCUGUUUAGGGAAUAAAGCCCCAUGUAAUUUCCAGCAGUGACAAUUUAAUCAGUUCUAUGGCUUAAAAAAAAAAAAAAAAAAAGGAUUCCCUCAUUUUCAUAUUUGCAUAUUUAAUUUUUGCACUUGCAUGUAUAUUUCUGUUAUCUCCCAUCCACAUGUUGCUAUUUGUCUCUGCGGUGAAGGAAUUUUUAUUUCCUGUGGGCAACGUGGAGCCUGACUUGCAUGUAAAAAGAUUCAGUGAAAAAUCAUCCCUUAUUGAAAUAAAGUGAGCUGGCAUGCCA